rnacentral:lncRNA from 1 species
GGCAGUUAUUUAAACAGAAGGCUCCAGGAGACAUACAAUCAACACUCCACUCAGACAAUGCCCAGACCUCCAGAAACCAUGUGUCAAGCUCGGAUUGCCUUAGACAGGUGCAAUUUAAGAACAGCUUUCAUCCUCUUUUCUCUCAUAUUGUCACACUAUGUGUUCUGACUUCUGGCUCCUUUCCUCACAAGAAGCUCACCCAGCUGGAACUCUUAUGGGACCUUGGCACCAGAGACCACAAAUUCCUCUUUGAAGUUUUCUAACAGCAACAAUGGUAUUUCUGACUUGGCUUUCUUGUAUUUCUCUCACGUUAACAAAAUUGGUUCAGCAUCUACCAUGGGCUACAUGCUGAGCUACAGAGUUUCGCUCUGUCGCCCAGGCUGGAGUGCAGUGGCGCGCGAUCUCGGUUCACUGCAAGCUCCACCUCCCGGGUUCACGCCAUUCUCCUGCCUCAGCCUCCUGAGUAGCUGGGACUACAGGCGCCCGCCACCACACCCAGGAAUCCAACUUGCUGUUUGCUAUCACAUGUGCUAUACAUGCUGUUGAUGAAACUGCUAAAGGGGCUGAAUGUGACUGACGUCUUUGGAAGGAUGAGACUUAGCGUGCCUGUACAGUUGUGUCCAAAUGCUGUCCUCAUCUCCCAAUGAAAAGGAAAAACGGAGCCCGAGCAGCUAAGGAUCUUGCCCACGGUCACUGAAUUAGCAAUGCUUGUGAUGAACAUUCCCAAAGCUUUUAUGAGCUCUACGAUCUGGAAUAGGUCUCUUUGUGAUCUGUUCUCCUACUUGCUAAAUAUAUGAAAUAUUAAACUUCAUAAUCACAAAGUUUCUGUAUCCAUCUAAAAA